UCUUAGUGGCGGACGGGUGAGUAACGCGUGGGUAACCUGCCUUAUACAGGGGGAGUAACACUUAGAAAUAGGUGCUAAUACCGCAUAAGCGCACGGGGCUGCAUGGCCCAGUGUGAAAAACUCCGGUGGUAUAAGAUGGACCCGCGUCUGAUUAGCUUGUUGGCGGGGUAACGGCCCACCAAGGCGACGAUCAGUAGCCGGCCUGAGAGGGUGGACGGCCACAUUGGGACUGAGACACGGCCCAAACUCCUACGGAAGGCAGCAG
rnacentral:rRNA from 1 species